CACCAUUGAAACCCCCCUCCAUGUCUUCUUCCCCAAACUGCAACAGCUCAAACUCCAUGGAAAACUCCCAUGUGUUGCAUUGUCCUUGCGCACAAGCGCUCUCGGUGCAGAGCCGUGGGACCGUCGCUGCAUGCCCUCUUCCCCAAUGUUGUCGAAUACAUUUCCGGUGAGCAACCUUUCUUCUCUGGUGGUAUUUUUCAUUUUUUUAGUCUGUAGCCGUCGCAGUCCCUCAUCACGCCCUUGCGCGUGCGCAUGCCAAGCUACAGCCACCCAUGGUCGGCCAUGGCUGCCCAGCCACCACGCCCCACUGACCUGGCCACGCGCGUCGCAUUGGCGAGCGCCGCCACACCCGCUGCUGGUUGCCGACGCUGCCCAGCCCCACCUCGUCGCUCCUAUCGUGCGCCCCGUUGCGAGCGCCUAUAAAGCUUUGCAUCGCUGCCGUGGCCAUCCUGUUGCGCGCGUGCCGUUUCCCCCAGCAGGGCGUGCGAGCCGCUCCCACCCGGGCGUCCCCCGGUCGAACCUUCCCCAACUGCGCUGCUGCAAGGUCGGUCGUCGGCGAGCCUCACUGCCAUGCGCGGUUACAAGCAGCGCUUGUGCCAUCAACGAAGAAGAAACCGCCGCCUGGGUUCCACGCGCACGCAUGGCACUGGCAUGCAGCAAUGCCUCUAGCCCUCCUGCCCCUCCACGAUCUUCUGCAUGCAACAAACAAAUAGAAACUGGCAUGUGUGCCCCACUUCCUGUUUUCUUUCAUGCACAUAUUCUGCAUGCGACCAAGCCAGGAACGACUCUCCUCCCCACACAAAAUUCCACUCAUUUGGUUUCUCUAUGGCAGUUCUCCAUGUGGCUUCCUGUGUGGCUCCGGGUUCAGCCAAUAGAAUCGUGUCACGUCGCAUUAAAUCUGUGGUUUAGUAAAUACACGUUAACUUUUGCGUUAGGCGUCUAAUUUAUUCUGUUCCAGGUGUAGCUUCGUAACAAUGUCGUGUGCAUUCUAAAAAUAUUAUCGCACCAUGAUGUUUUAAUUAAUUAAUUAUUAAUUUACCCGAUGAUUAUUGAAAUAGCAAUCUAAGUAAAACUUAUUUCUAGUUUUAACUUGCGCUUAUAAAUAAAUGUUAAUAUGAUUAAUACCCAUGUAAAUACUUUGUAUUUAAUACUCCCUUAGUGUAAAUAUGACAUCUAUUUAGUAUUUCUCGCGUAUCACGCAUAUUGUUCCGCACAUAGUUGUGUCCUCGUUCGCACACCGUUUUCGCAUGUCGCGCGCAUUGGCAUGUGUCAUUCGCGUGUAUCGCGCGCUGUCCGCACGCGAUAUUAAGUCGUUCGCUUAUAAUCACUCAUGCCAGUUAAUUAACUAUUUAUUUAGUCGUCUACCGUUAAUAUUGUUAGUUAGUCAAAACUAAGUAGUUUUUUAACUUGCAUUUAAUACAUAUCAAUUAACAUGGUUAUAUUGAAUUAAAUAUUAUAACUCAUACCCACUUAGUGUAAACGCGAUAACUUCUCGAGCGUAGCUCCGACUAUCGCGUUUCUUUUUCCUCGCGCGACUGUAGUAACACGCUCUAUUUCGUUGUGUAUAUUUUAUUAUGUUUUAUUUGAAUGGUGUAAUGUUCUUACGCAUAUACAUAUAUUUGUUUGUUUGUUUGUUUGUUUGUGUCUGUUGGUAUUCGUUGUGCGUCGCAAAUAGUUUGCGAUCCGUUUUCGAGCUUCGAGGGAUCGAAGAUCAAGAGUUGGUGACCAAGUGAUCUGGCUCUUCGAGUUCCACGAAGCUGAAGACCCUGAGCAUCUAUUUGGUGAAGGCAAGUGUCCUCUGACCCAUUAUGUCUCAUUUACUUUAUAAUACACUGCCCCGCAUACUAUGAACAACCUAAGGAUUUACUAGCUUUCUAUUUAUCUUGUCCUUGAUUUACCUUUUGGGUUACUAUGGUUAGCUACAUGCUAGCGCUUUACUUUAAUCAAUGAACAUGAUGAGAUACAAUGAUGAUACUAUGAUUUUAUUCUGGAUAUGAUGAUAUACUUGUGGCAUUUAAGGGGACUCGGGUUGUUUCCCGAGUACCUCUCCGUAAGGACCUGUUCGUUGAGAGACCACCCGGGAUAACAGUGCAACCAUGAGGAUGAAAUGGGAUGCCCUUAGCUAAUUAAUUAGAGGAACUAGAGGGUAGUUGCUUCGCCGUCGUGCCGUCAAUGGGGUCCAGGCACAGUGCUUGCUCUGCCGAGGCUGAGUGCCGAGGUUCUUUCGUUUUGCUUUUGUUAGUCACCCUCCUGCGGGGAGAGGUACUGUGUUUAUCAAACUGGAGAAACCUAACGGGCGGCUAUGACCUCUAGGGAAUCUUUGUAAAAGCUACGUAGUGAUACCCUGCCGGACCACCUAGGAAGUGAUCAAUGGGGAGUCAUGAUCCCCGGGCAAAACGGGAAUCACGGCUCAUGGGUAAAGUGUGCGACCUCUGCAGAGGGUAAGGAAACUGAUAUAUCAGCCGUGCUCACGGUUAUGAGCGGCCUUGGGAUCCUCUUUGAUUAGAGAUACUUGAUUAGAGAUGAGGAGGAGGAGGAUGGUUAUGAUUAUGCUUAUGGUAAUGGUAAGUGGUAUUCCUUCCGUUUGGAAAGGGUACACUGGGUUAAUAACUUGGGUUAAUGUUAAAACCUGGCUCUCUACUAGUAAUAAUUACCUGACCAACUAAAAGCAACUGCUUGACUCUAACCCCACAUAAAGCUAGUCCACUUCAGCCAAACGGGACAUUUGCUGAGUACGUUGAUGUGUACUCACCCUUGCUUUCACAAAACACCAGGUUGCCUUUGGUGCAAUCUAUGCUCAGGUAAAGAAGGUGUCGAGGCGGAUCUCCAGGAGUUCCAGGACUUCGACGAGUCCGAGGAUUAGGCUAGCGACCUCCCCCAGUCAGCUGCCUGUGGUGGGUUGUUUACGUUGGCUACGUUUCGAUUCUGUGUACUUUGAUUUAUAUUAUGUAAAUGGCUCUAGUCUGUAAUAUUAUUACUUACUCUUUAUUGUAAUUCGAAGCAUUGUGCUAUGAUGAGUCAUUUAUGUAAUCGCUGUGUACGUGAAUAACUGAUCCUGGCACGUACAUGGUUCGCAUUCGGUUUACCUUCUAAAACCGGGUGUGACAUAAGUGGUAUCAAAGCCAGGUUGAGUGUAGGACCGCUGACCUAGAGUAGCAUUGGUCGUUUUAAGGACUUAUUGAUUUUUACUUCAUCUCAUCCUUGAUUCCGCUUCAAAAUAUUAGUCACCUCGACUAAUUCUAUGUUGUGCUCCUAUAUGCCCCCUUGCCAAAAAGUAUUUUAUUCUAGUAUGGUCUAUACUUCUCUCAAUCUAUUAGAUCUGAUCUCAUCUUGUGCUUGCGACAUCUUUGUAGAUGCCCCCUGACCAUAGCCUUUAGUCUUUUGGGACUCUUUCCUCGUCCAUUAUUAAAUUGCUACCAUUUGACCAUCUCUAUUCCAUUUUGUUAUUGACAUGCUCAUAUCCUUGCAUUUUUAAUAUCCUUACCCCUUAAUCUAAAGUACUUACCCUUGUACCUCUGUUGCCUAUUUAAAUAGUUCAGUUUAUGUGUCCAUGACCUUCUUGUCUUCUGAGAUCCUUUCUUAUUCUGUUGUUAAGUCGUUAUCUUUCAACAACUUCUAUUCCCUUGGUCUUAGUAUGCUCAUAUCCUUGGAGUCUUGCAUACUCUCGUAUUUUUAUGUAUGCUUAUCUUCAUACCCCAAUGUUUGUUUAAGACAUUUCAGUUAACAUGCCCUUGACCACCCUUGCUUCUUAAUGGUUCAUGAUCGACCAUUUUACUUUGCAUAUCCUUGGUGAUCUCGUUGUCUCCUUGUAACUUCACUUGGUAAUGAAUCUUUACUUCAACUCUUAUGUUGGAACCUUACCUAUCUUAGCCUUGAUUGUUUUCUCCACUUUGUCGUUUCGCGAGUCUUGUCUCAACUAUAUCCUUUGUUAUGCUUUUUAAUUAUUAUCAUAUGCACCCUUGACACCUCUAUAUCCUAUAUUGAUGUUUGUCUCAUACCUGCCCUUUAAAAUCGCCCCUCUUCCGUCUCAUACCUUCUUUCUCUUGGCUGUAUCCUCUUCUUUGGCUCGCGAGUUUGUAACCUCAUCCUUUGUUGUGCUUUUGCUUCUUAUUGCCUUUACCCUUCUCAUCUCUCGAUCUUACCUUGGUGAUUACGCUAUGUUCGUUAUCUAAAACCUCCAAUCUCCCACCUUAGUUCAAGCGUGGUCUCUUACUUAUCUCACCCGUGGUUAUAUCCUAUACUUUACCUCUUGCGAGACUUAUCUUAUUUCUAUUCUUGAUUGUACCUAGAUUCCUGGGUUUUUUAUGCACAUUUACCUCUUCCUUUAUAUCCUUGCCUAUUAUCACCUUUGACCCUUGACCUCUCUCCAUAUUUACCAUGAUGUUUACCUAUUUCUUAGCCUCACUUAUUCCAUUUCAAUCCGAGAGUGUUAUUUUCCCUACUCUGCUCUUGUUCGUUUCCUUUCCCUUUGUCGCUUUGCAAGUCUUGUCUUAACUCAAUCUUUUGUUGUGCUUUUGCCUGUUACCUCUUGUACCUUUGUAACCACUAGAUCUUUCCAUGAUGCUUAUCCUAUGCCUACCGUUUGAAAUAUCAUCUUUCCCAUCUCGAUUUGCGAAUGAUGUUUUACCUAUCCUGACCUUGGUUGCAUUCUCUCCCUGUUGGUUCCAAUCUUUACUUUAGCUCCAUCCUUUAUUAUGCUCAUGCCCCUAUCCUGCAUGUUUUAUCGCUCCCAUUGUCUUUCGAUGGCCUUAGUGUAGUUUCCCCUUUGUAAGGAAAGACCACCAUCUAGUUAACAUUAACGUGUAGCCACGAGAUGCCUGUUGUUGUGUGCUUGUGCCGUUUGUCUUUGUGUGAUGACUGAUUUUCUUCUUUGUGAUGAGUGUUGAUGUGUUGUGGCCCUUGGUCCGCAAUGACAUCAGUUCACCAGGUUAGUGCCAUAUAGUUAAGUAGUUGGGUUCUUCCCCUACUCUCUCUAAUCUGUCUAUACUUACCUUUUCUCGCUAUUCUUUCCUCUUGCACCUGUCCAUUUGGCAACCUCCAACUCCUUCAAAUCAGUCAAGAUCAGAGUCGGUAGCACCUUCAUCAAGUGCGUAUCAACGCUCCUGUUAAGGGGGUUAGUCGUUAACCCCAAUGAAGACAAUGUGAUCAACAUCAACCAACAAGAUCAAAGUGGCGCAGUGGAAGUGUGUGUGGGUCCUAACCCACAGGUCCAAUAGAACCUCAAGAAUCGCAUCGAUCGGUCUCAAGCAUCUGAAAGUCAAAGCAAACCAGUCCCCAAGUUAAGCUUGUAGAGUCAAAGUCAACUCAAGAAAGACGUGGACAACCUAUGAACCAACCUUGUUUUCUUGCUAGCCUCUCCUUGAAUCUCGAGGGCGAGAUUCUGUUAAGGGGGUUAGAUUUGUAACACCCUGAAUUUGGGGGUAUAAAAUUUCUUUUCUAAAAUCCACUAAAUUCGGGUGUUACCCUCUCUUUUCCUUGCUUUUCUUUUCUUUUUCUAAAUAAUGGAGAGUUAUUUUAUUAUAUAUAAGUUUUUAGCGUAGUAAAAUAAAAUCCUAGAGAAGCUUUUGUUGUUGCAUUCAUGUCAUUGCAUAGUGUUUAUGAGUGCAGGGGUUUUCAAACUAUAUCGAAUUAUCUUUUUCACGUUUCCGAAAAACUUUCGGGAACCUUCGAAACGUUUCUUUGAGUAUUAAAUAUGAAUUUCAGUUUUUCUAAUAUUAAUUAAAUAACUAAAAUGUAGUAGUUGCGAAAACUAUAAAAUUUUGGAAACUAGACUAUAUAUAUAUAUAUAUAUAUCUUCCUCUCGUCGAACCUGUUCCAGAUCUCGUGCCCUUUUUGCGAGAUCACCGAACCGCGUCUUCUCGCGAAUGGCAUGCUGCUCGCAUCGGCGAUCCUUGUCUAUCCCCGUCUACCCCUUCGGCGUCCACCUCGUCAUCUUGGGCCCGUGGGCCAGCUCUGACCGCCUUAGUCUAAUUUUAUCUAACCCUUUCUACCUCCGCCUAACUCAGUUUCUGUCGUAUACUUUCUCGCUCAAAUCGUCACGCAACCGUCUUUUUCGCUCGGCCAGAACGCAAUCCGCGGCAAAAUCGACAAGUGCCUCUCGCACCCUCUUCUCUAUAUACAUGUACCCCACCAUUGAAACCCCCCUCCAUGUCUUCUUCCCCAAACUGCAACAGCUCAAACUCCAUGGAAAACUCCCAUGUGUUGCAUUGUCCUUGCGCACAAGCGCUCUCGGUGCAGAGCCGUGGGACCGUCGCUGCAUCCCUCUUCCCCAAUGUUGUCGAAUACAUUUCCGGUGAGCAACCUUUCUUCUCCGGUGGUAUUUUUCAUUUUUUUUAGUCUGUAGCCGUCGCAGUCCCUCAUCACGCCCUUGCGCGUGCGCAUGCCAAGCUACAGCCACCCAUGGUCAGCCAUGGCUGCCCAGCCACCACGCCCCACUGACCUGGCCACGCGCGUCGCAUUGGCGAGCGCCGCCACACCCGCUGCUCCUAUCAUGCCCAGCCCCACCUCGUCGCUCCUAUCAUGCGCCCCGUUGCGAGCGCCUAUAAAGCUUUGCAUCGCUGCCGUGGCCAUCCUGUUGCGCGCGUGCCGUUUCCCCCAGCAGGGCGUGCGAGCCGCUCCCACCCGGGCGUCCCCCGGUCGAACCUUCCCCAACUGCGCUGCUGCAAGGUCGGUCGUCGGCGAGCCUCACUGCCAUGCGCGGUUACAAGCAGCGCUUGUGCCAUCAACGAAGAAGAAACCGCCGCCUAGGUUCCACGCGCACGCAUGGCACUGGCAUGCAGCAAUGCCUCUAGCCCUCCUGCCCCUCCACGAUCUUCUGCAUGCAACAAACAAAUAGAAACUGGCAUGUGUGCCCCACUUCCUGUUUUCUUUCAUGCACAUAUUCUGCAUGCGACCAAGCCAGGAACGACUCUCCUCCCCACACAAAAUUCCACUCAUUUGGUUUCUCUAUGGCAGUUCUCCAUGUGGCUUCCUGUGUGGCUCCGGGUUCAGCCAAUAGAAUCGUGUCACGUCGCAUUAAAUCUGUGGUUUAGUAAAUACACGUUAACUUUUGCGUUAGGCGUCUAAUUUAUUCUGUUCCAGGUGUAGCUUCGUAACAAUGUCGUGUGCAUUCUAAAAAUAUUAUCGCACCAUGAUGUUUUAAUUAAUUAAUUAUUAAUUUACCCGAUGAUUAUUGAAAUAGCAAUCUAAGUAAAACUUAUUUCUAGUUUUAACUUGCGCUUAUAAAUAAAUGUUAAUAUGAUUAAUACCCAUGUAAAUACUUUGUAUUUAAUACUCCCUUAGUGUAAAUAUGACAUCUAUUUAGUAUUUCUCGCGUAUCACGCAUACUGUUCCGCACAUAGUUGUGUCCUCGUUCGCACACCGUUUUCGCAUGUUGCGCGCAUUGGCAUGUGUCAUUCGCGUGUAUCGCGCGCUGUCCGCACGCGAUAUUAAGUCGUUCGCUUAUAAUCACUCAUGCCAGUUAAUUAACUAUUUAUUUAGUCGUCUACCGUUAAUAUUGUUAGUUAGUCAAAACUAAGUAGUUUUUUAACUUGCAUUUAAUACAUAUCUAUUAACAUGGUUAUAUUGAAUUAAAUAUUAUAACCCAUACCCACUUAGUGUAAACGCGAUAACUUCUCGAGCGUAGCUCCGACUAUCGCGUUUCUUUUUCCUCGCGCGACUGUAGUAACACGCUCUAUUUCGUUGUGUAUAUUUUAUUAUGUUUUAUUUGAAUGGUGUAAUGUUCUUACGCAUAUACAUAUAUUUGUUUGUUUGUUUGUUUGUGUCUGUUGGUAUUCGUUGUGCGUCGCAAAUAGUUUGCGAUCCGUUUCCGAGCUUCGAGGGAUCGAAGAUCAAGAGUUGGCGACCAAGUGAUCUGGCUCUUCGAGUUCCACGAAGCUGAAGACCCUGAGCAUCUAUUUGGUGAAGGCAAGUGUCCUCUGACCCAUUAUGUCCCAUUUACUUUAUAAUCCACUGCCCCGCAUACUAUGAACAACCUAAGGAUUUACUAGCUUUCUAUUUAUCUUGUCCUUGAUUUACCUUUUGGGUUACUAUGG
rnacentral:lncRNA from 1 species